rnacentral:rRNA from 1 species
ACGGAAGGCAGCAGUGGGGGAUAUUGCACAAUGGGGGAAACCCUGAUGCAGCGACGCCGCGUGAGUGAAGAAGUAUUUCGGUAUGUAAAGCUCUAUCAGCAGGGAAGAUAAUGACGGUACCUGACUAAGAAGCUCCGGCUAAAUACGUGCCAGCAGCCGCGGUAAUACGUAUGGAGCAAGCGUUAUCCGGAUUUACUGGGUGUAAAGGGAGCGCAGGCGGCAGGCUAAGUCAGAUGUGAAAACCCAGGGCUCAACCUUGGGACUGCAUUUGAAACUGGUCAGCUAGAGUGCGGGAGAGGUAAGCGGAAUUCCUAGUGUAGCGGUGAAAUGCGUAGAUAUUAGGAGGAACACCAGUGGCGAAGGCGGCUUACUGGACCGUAACUGACGCUGAGGCUCGAAAGCGUGGGGAGCAAACAGGAUUAGAUACCCUGGUA